rnacentral:rRNA from 1 species
CUACGGGAGGCAGCAGUGGGGAAUCUUGCACAAUGGAGGAAACUCUGAUGCAGCGAUGCCGCGUGAGUGAAGAAGGCCCUUGGGUUGUAAAGCUCUUUCGUCGGGGAAGAAAAUGACUGUACCCGAAUAAGAAGGUCCGGCUAACUUCAUGCCAGCAGCCGCGGUAAUACGAAGGGACCUAGCGUAGUUCGGAAUUACUGGGCUUAAAGAGUUCGUAGGUGGUUGAAAAAGUUAGUGGUGAAAUCCCAGAGCUUAACUCUGGAACUGCCAUUAAAACUUUUCAGCUAGAGUAUGAUAGAGGAAAGCAGAAUUUCUAGUGUAGAGGUGAAAUUCGUAGAUAUUAGAAAGAAUACCAAUUGCGAAGGCAGCUUUCUGGAUCAUUACUGACACUGAGGAACGAAAGCAUGGGUAGCGAAGAGGAUUAGAUACCCUCGUAGUCCAUGCCGUAAACGAUGUGUGUUAGACGUUGGAAAUUUAUUUUCAGUGUCGCAGCGAAAGCGAUAAACACACCGCCUGGGGAGUACGACCGCAAGGUUAAAACUCAAAGGAAUUGACGGA